rnacentral:rRNA from 1 species
CAGAGAGCUUGCUCUCGGGUGACGAGUGGCGGACGGGUGAGUAAUGUCUGGGAAACUGCCUGAUGGAGGGGGAUAACUACUGGAAACGGUAGCUAAUACCGCAUAACGUCGCAAGACCAAAGAGGGGGACCUUCGGGCCUCUUGCCAUCAGAUGUGCCCAGAUGGGAUUAGCUAGUAGGUGGGGUAACGGCUCACCUAGGCGACGAUCCCUACCUGGUCUGAGAGGAUGACCAGCCACACUGGAACUGAGACACGGUCCAGACUCCUACGGGAGGCAGCAGUGGGGAAUAUUGCACA